CCCUUAGAUGUUCUGGGCUGCACGCGCGCUACACUGAUGCACUCAACGAGUUUACGACCUUGCCCGAUAGGGUUGGGUAAUCUUUUUAAAAUGCAUCGUGAUGGGGAUAGAUUAUUGCAAUUAUUAAUCUUCAACGAGGAAUUCCUAGUAAGCGCGAGUCAUCAGCUCGUGCUGAUUACGUCCCUGCCCUUUGUACACACCGCCCGUCGUUCCUACCGAUUGAGUGCUCAGGUGAAUAAUUCGGACUGCAGCAAUGUUUGGAUCCCGAACGUUGCAGCGGAAAGUUUAGUGAACCUUAUCACUUAGAGGAAGGAGAAGUCGUAACA
rnacentral:rRNA from 1 species